GAUUCAGAAGAAAGUGACUGAUAUUGGAAAAUGAUUUAACAUUGAGGGACGGGAACACCACAGUUGGAAGCAAGUUUUCUGGCGUUGGGGCUGUUGACAUAUUGCCUGAGGCUUGGGUUCUUGAGAUAUCCACAAAGGCAAGGCCUCUGCUCCCUCAGUUUCUGGCAGCAUGUGGUUGAAGGAGGUGACCCUGAAUUUAUUGGGCCCAAGCAUGGGCUCAACUGCACUGGGCUGCAUGUCACUGCCUCUGCCAUCCUUGCCUCUUCACUUAGCAUCACUGCCACCAUCACCACCACACACAGGGCCACGCCUGAAUAUGACAACUUCAUCAUCUUAAUUCAAUGUGCACUAGUUAAUAAUUUAUGAGAGAGAAAGAGAGAGAUUAGAGAGAGGGAGUAUGGUGCAUUUGGGAAGUACUCCUUCUGCACAAUUUAUAGAAGGAAGUAGCCAAUGCCGUGGUGGAAAAGGGAAGACUGAGUGGCUGAUUUUCGUAAGUCUUCUUCAACACACUCGCUCACGUGGGAGGAUUACGUUCACACCGGGAUUUAGUUUUUUACAAAAAUUGGCUUAAGUUGAAUUUUGGUGACCGAAGUUGGGUGUAAUCCACGUAGAAGACUUGUUGUUUAUUCAAGUCUUUUGAUUAUCAUGCCAUGUAGAAUUACACUCCUUUUUUAAUGUGCUGAGUUAUAUUUGUGUAUGUGCUAUUUUUUGUUUUAAUUUCUUGUUUCUAUUACGUCCCUGAAGUCUAAAAUAGGCAAUUUAUUAUUUAUAGGACAUUAAUUAUUAGAUUCAAUUUGUUUUUAAUUACAUGUCUAUUUAUUGAAUGAGUGCUACUAAAUGAACCCUAAAAUUAACCGAGUACACCUUGAUACUAAACUAUUUAUUGAAUUACUAAUUUAUCCUAAUAUAAAGGGAUAUGAUUUCCCCACUUUCUUUUUUUCCACUUACACUCCCUUUUGCUUUUUAAUACUUUUUAAUCAAUUUUGUUCUUUCUCUUUCCUAUUAUACCCUUACCCUACAUUAAUUUCUUUGUACUUCACUUUUAUAUUAGUUCUUUUUCUUUAUACUUAAUUUUCCAACUUGCACUCUAUUUUUAGUAUUUUUUUUUCCUUUAAUCUAGUAAGAAAUUAAGUUUUUUUUUUCCUUUAAUACUGAAAAUGUAGUGCAAGUUGGAAAAUUAAGUAUAAAGAAAAAGAAAUAAUAUAAAAGUGAAGUAAAAAAGAAAUUAAUGUAGAGUAAGGAUAGAAUAGGAAAGAGAAAGAACAAAAUUGAUUAAAAAGUAUUAAAAAGCAAAAGGGAGUGUAAGUGGGGAAAUCAACUCUCAAUAUAAAAUGACCAAAAAUGAUAUAUUGCAUUGUGAAAUAAAUGUAAUUUUAAUGAGUACACCUUACUCACCAUAUUUAACCAUAAUCAAACAGUCGCCCUAAUUUUAUCGUCUUUAACCUAACGCUUAAUCUUUCACUGGACAACAGUACCGUCCACCACAUCAUCGCCGUAGUGUGGAAUUUAGACUAAAUUGAUUUGUGUUUCUCGUGUGCUCCAACUAGAUUAUUGAAUAUUUAGAUUGUAAUGCUUAGCCAUUGGUUGGUGGAGGGUCACCAUAAUUAAGUCAAGGGGAUAAAAAUUAAGUUCGAACAGAUCCCAUAAACAAAAUCAGCAAUUCUAGCUCAGAUAUUCAUCUGACCACAUCAACAAAGCUCUUGCAUGCUCAGAUCAAAGAUCAAUUAAUUUACUAUUAUUUUAUUAUAUUAUGCUAAUCAUAAAUAAAUAAAUUGGUAAUGCAAAUUUCAAUUCAUUUAAAACCACAUAUUAUAUAUGUUUUUUUUUAAGAAAAAAAAUGAUUUAUUGAAAGAAACAUUACGGAUGAUCUUCAACUAAGACAUCAUGAUGAUAUUGGGAGGGUCCCCAUACCACAUUGGCACUUGAAAUAAAGUUACAGAAGAUCGAGCUAAUCUAUGAGCCACCACAUUGACUUCAAGAAAAACGAAAUUCAAAUAGCAGCCAAGCUGAAUGAAGCAAAACCACAUAUUUCAGAAGUCAAUUACACUGACAUUUAUUUAUUUUGUUUAACCAUAUAACAUACAUCCCAUUAUUCUCCGGGCACAAUUGGUAGUAUCAUGAUUGCUGGUCUUGAACAAUGACAUUAAUGAACUCGUCAUUCUUAUUACUUAACUAUACUGGUAAUUAAGGAGUGAUUAAUAUUGGUAAUUAAUUUAGCAUUGAGGGAAGGGAACACCACAGGUGGAAGCAACUUUUCUGGCGUUGGGGCUGCUGACAUAUUGCUUGAGGGCUGGGUCCUUGAGAUAUCCACAAAGGCAAGGCUUCUGCUCCCUCAGUUUCUGGCAGCAUGUGGUUGAAGGAGGUGUCCCUGACAUAAUUGGUUCCAAGCAUGAGCUCAACUCCAAUGGGCUACAUGUCACUGCCUCUGUCAUCCUUGCUUCUUCACUUAGCACCAUUGCCAUCAUAACCACAACACAGAGCCCCACACCACAGCAUGACAACUUCAUCAUCUUAAAAUUCUAUAUCUAUUAAUUAUUUAAUUACUUAUAUUCAGAGAGAGAGAUUAGAGAAUGGUGCAUUUGGGAAGGGCCUUACUGCACAAUUUAUACAAGGGAGAAGGGAAUGCCGUGGUGGAGGGGAAAGCUUAAGUGGCUGAUUGUCAUGAGUUUUUUUGUCGUGAUUGUAAUACCACCUGAUAUGUUGACGUAAUUAUACAAUACCUAUGGUGUUAACGUUAAAUUCUGAACUUUAAACGAUGAUAUUAGUAUUUUUUUGUAUUGAAAAAACUGGUUAAUAAAUAUAAGUACAAAUAAUAUUAUCGACAAUCCAAAGUGUUUAUUUUUUCUGAGUCUCUCCAUUGAAGCUCUCUUUGAUAUUAUCAAACUCUAAAUGGCGUGGUUAAUGCUAAAUCCAAUACAAAUGUUGUCAUGUCACGAGGUGUCACACACAAGUUCCCUUCGAGGAAGGUGAGCUCAGUACUUUAAGCUGCAGAAAAAAAACAAGGGACAAGUUUAGUGAUGAGCGUCCCGCAUUGCAAUGAAUCAGUCUGACCCACUCUGUAAUGAGAGGACAAAGUGAGUCACGGAAAACUGCACAGAAAAAGCUAAUAGUAACACCACAGAAGAGUGUUCCUGAAAAAGAGAUCUCCUACUCGAUGCGAGUCCAUUACCAUAUCAGAGAAAAUUUUGAAGUGGCAUGACAAGAUUGCUUGCAAAGAUAACGCCAAAUGGUUCUUUAUUUUGGAAAAUGAUUGUGUGUGACGUUUGUCUUACUUCAAAGAUAAUACUAAAAAUAUGGGACCCAUGUUAUGGUUGUGUAGGUGGAAGAUAGUGGAGUGAGAAAAAUGAGAAGAAAAAAAGUGGGUUUGUAGGUAAUUAAAAAUCUAACAGUAAAUUUAAAUUACAUAUAAUAAUAAUAAUAAACUAUUUAUUGUAAAUUGUAAGGGGAUAUAAUUUUCUCAAGAUAGUGUAAAUGUAUAUAUUAGGUGCACGACCGAAAAAAAAGAAGAAGAAAUAUUAGGUAGUAGCAGUCUCGUUCACUUAAAAACCUAAAAAUGAGGUUCUGAGACUCUCUGAGCACAAAAAAGUCAUUGUGAAAGAUUUUAGGUAGUGAGUAUUGUGAUUGACAUGAGACAAAUAUUAAAUUGUAAUUAUUGAUGGAAAAGAAAUAAAGAAAAGUUGUGUGCUUCAAGGCUUUCUAAGUUUCCUCUAAUGAUAAUGUGACGAUGCACAAGGAAUAUUUCCCAACUGUAGAAAGCUUGUGAGACCAAAAGAAGUAAAUAUAAAUAAUAAAAAAUAAUAAAAAGCUUAAUAAAAAGAAAGUGAGACCGAAAGUUGAUAGACCCCUAACUAUACAUAUGAUUAUUAGUUUGCAAAGAAAUUAGUGCCUCUGAGUGGAAAACAACCUGCUUUAAAGUGGAAUAUACAUAUUCUUAAAGCAGAAGAACUCAUGCUAUCGGGCUUGCAAGUUAGAGGAGAACUGCCCAAAGUAGAGGAAUUAUACUAGCAGCAAUAGACUUUUAUUAGGACGUGGUUGAAUUUUGGGGUGGAAAACACAAAAUUCUUUUCACCAAACAAAAUUGAAGAGAAGCUAUGGCCUUCUCUAAAAUUAAGGCGCAGGGUCGGAAAAUUAAAAUCUGUACAUAUUUACGAAACAAAGCAACGAGCUUGAGCUCAAGUGGUUAAAUUCUGUGAUAUAAUUCGUGUAUAAAGAAUAUAUGUAUAAACAAACCAAUAAACCUUUCAUUGAAUUAGCAAAGCAGGCUAGGGUCAAACUAGGAACUAGACCACAACUAAAUUCAAUUGGUUACAUAACCGCCAGCAAUGGCGAAGAGCUCAGCUGCUCAGGAUCAAGUUGAUGUUUUCUGAACUACGACUAAAUUUCAAUUGGUUAAUCAAUCCAAUAAGUUCUACACUAAAAACCCAGAGCAAUAAAAUGUAGUACAAAUUAAUACUGCUUGGUACGCGACAAAUUGUCAAAGCCCACUUGUGAAUAUUGAUUAUCAUCCAAUUAAGAUGGUGUGUAUGAUUACUAAUGGGCCACGCAGAAGGCACUCAUGAAUAUCUACUUGUUGACCUCUGAUUGGGCCUCUACUUGGAGGCGACGAACUACUAGAAUCCUUAGUUUAGUCUAGUGGGAUGGGCCUAUUUAGACCAUGUAUACCGCUUUAGGACUCGUUUGGAAGUGAUUCUGGCUCCAUAAUUAUUUUUGGGGAGAACCACCUCUUAUGUGCUUCUCCAUAUAAUUUUGGGCAGAAGCACCUCUCAUGUGCUUCUCUAUAAAAUCACUUAGGGUCAGUUUGGCAUUGCUGUGCUGUGAAAAUAAUCGCUGUCAAAUUUGCUGUGAGAGAAAUCAACUGUGAGAUAAAGUAGUUUGGCGUUUGGUAAAUUUUUUUGUUAAAAGUGUUAUUGGUACUGAUUCUCGCAUAAUCAGAAAAUAAUUGCCGCAUAAUCAUUUAGCCUAGCAUAUCUUCGAAACUAAUUCCUACAUAAUCAGAAAAUGAAAGUACAUCAUUAGCUGUUUUCCCUUAUAGCUUUCUCUCACAACAAUUUUUAACAAUAAAUGAUUUUCUCAUAGUUUACCAAACGAGCUAGGCUUCCCAAAUUUUUUUUAAAAUCACUUAUCACCCCAAAUAAGCUAUGCCAAACAGGCACUUAAACCCACUUAGAGUGAUUAUUUAGAUAAGUGAUUCUCAAUAGAAGUAUUUUUUGGCCUAUCCAGAAUCACUCACAAAUGAGCCCUUAAUGCAUUUGGAAAGGUUAAAAAUACUUUAUGACAACUAAAAAUAUUUCUGACAGCGUUUGGCACGAAAGUUUAGAAGCACCUUUGGGUCAUAGAAUCAUUUUUUGGAGAAGCACUCCCAAGUGCAUUUCCAGAAAGCAAUUGGAUUUUUUGUAUGAAAAUUCAAGAUUUUUCUAAUAAAAGCAAUUUUGUUAGAAACGCUUAUGAGCAGAAGUACUUCUUAAAGAAGCAAAUGAGCCCUUAGAUUUUUAGUUAUAGACCCACUUCUAGCAUCAAUAUUAUGAAGAUAUUUAAUUUAGAGAUGAGCUCUCUCUCUCUCUUUCUCUCUCUCUCUCUCUCUCUCUCUCUCUCUCUCUCUCUCUCUCUCUCUCUCUCUCUCAUCAACGGUGGAGGAGGCUCCAUUGAACUCACCCCAGAUUGGAACGGCGAAAUCGAGACUAUUCUAAUGAAAGAAAACGAUGUCAACAACCCAGAUCUCGGCAACUCUAAUUUUUGUUAGUUCAUCAGAUAAAGAAAGAGGUAGAAAUAGAGGUCCUGGGCUUCUUCUCUGCUUUAAAAAAUAAUAAUAAUUAAUUGGAACAAGUUUUAAGAUCUUAAAAAUAGGUAUGAAGUUUAAUACCAAACAAAUUUUUAAAUCUUGUAUUCAGGGGCGGAUCCACAGAGGAGCAAGGGUGGUCAAUUGACCCCUGCAACCUCUGAAAUCCUCCAUUAGAGCCGCCCAAAUUGACCCUCGCAAGGUGUUCGAUGAAAUGCCCCAAUGGGGCAAACUCUUGUGCUGUUGUGCAGCUGUGGAGAGCUUGCGCACAGCGCGCAGCGCGCAUCUUUUUUUUUUUGUUUGGUCGACGUCAAAACGACGUCGUUUCAUUUAAGUGGUUUUUUUUUUUUGCGCCCUCGACGUCGAAACGACGUCGUUGCACUUAAGGUUUUUUCUUUUGCGCGCUAUUCUUCAAAAUGACGUCGUUUCACUUAUACUUUUUUUUUUUAAUAACACCUGGCCAAAACGACGUCAUUUUGGCACAGGUUAAAAAAAAAAAACAAAACAAAACAGCAGCACAGCAGCCCGAUACCCAUCAGUUUCAAAACCCAUUUCUUCUUCUCAAUAUCAAAUUCUCUAACCUAAAUUCCAACCCCAACUAAAACAACCAACCUCCAAUCCAAUUCAAUGGUGGCUUUCCCUCCCCCCUCACAAAUCAGUCGGUGGAGGCAGUAAAGUGGCGUCGGCGGUAGGCACUGGGCAGCAGAAAAUUGAAUAAGUGCCUCCAAAAUUCAAUUUGAUUUCAAAGGUGGAUUUAUCACUCAAAUUUGAGAGUGUGUUAUCCUAUUUUCUUUAUGCUUUAAUUAAUUAGUAAAGAUUCUUAUAUGUUAGUGUUUUUUGAUUAGUUGUUGUUUUUUGUUGUUGAGAUUUUAUUUUAGUUUGUUAGUUUGAAUAAACUAGGGCUUUUAUGUUAGUUUGAAUAAAUUAGAGGUUUUGGUUUUGGUUAGUUAGUUUGAAUAAAUUAGGGUUUUAUUUUUAUGUUAGAUUAUAUGAUUAUCUUGGUUAGUUUCAAUUAAUUAGGGGUUUUGAUUUUGGUUAGUUAGUUUGAAAGUAUGUUAUCCUAUUUUCUUUAUGCUUUAAUUAAUUAGUAAAGAUUCUUAUAUGUUAGUGUUUUUCUUGAUUAGUUGUUGUUGUUGUUUGUUGUUGAGAUUUUAUUUUAGUUUGUUAGUUUGAAUUAACUAGGGCUUUUAUGUUAGUUUGAAUAAAUUAGAGGUUUUGGCUAGUUAGUUUGAAUAAAUUAGGGUUUUAUUUUUAUGUUAGAUUAUAUGAUUAUCUUGGUUAGUUUCAAUUAAUUAGGGGUUUUGAUUUUGGUUAGUUAGUUUGAAUAAAUUAGGAUUUUACUUUUAUGUAAGAUUAUAUCUCUUGGUUAGUUUGAAUAAAUUAAGGGCUUCUAGUUUUGGUUAGUUUGUUUGAAUAAAUUAGUGUUUUAUGUUAGAUAAUAAUUGGUAAAUUUGAUUAGUUGUUGGAUUUUAUUUUGGUUAGUUUGCAUAAGUUAUGGCUUUUUAAUAUUGUUGAUGUUUGAUUGGUUAUUUCUACCAAUACAGUUAUGGAACGAUACUUUAAGAGAAGGUUCGCAUCAACUACUUCUAGUUCGGAUAAUGUGGGUAGUUCGAGUUCGAGAGAUGUGGAUAUUUCUAGAGAUGUAGAUAGUUCGAAAGAAAGUGAGUUGCAAGAUAUCUUAACUAAUCUUAUUGCAGACCCUGGACUUCGACCUCAAAUGUUGGAUUAUGAUCCUAACAUUAGAGACGAAGUUCGAAGAGCAUAUCUACAAAAGGGUCCAUGUCAGCCCAAGGAUCACACAUUUCCACAAACUGAUCUUUCAGGGUAUGAUCGACUCUUUAAUGUCAAGUGGUUUGAUGAGUUUGACUGGUUGGAAUACAGUAUUAGUAAAGAUGCUGCAUUUUGCCUUUAUUGUUAUCUCUUCAAAUCCAAUUUCAGAAUUGGUCAAGGGUGUAGCGACGCCUUCACAGAGAUGGGUUUUAGGAAUUGGAAGAAGAAAGAUAAAAUUAGGCAACAUGUUGGACCUGUUGGAAGUGUUCAUAAUCAAUCUAGACAGUAUUGUGUGGAUCUUAUGAAUCAAAAGCAACACAUCCGAACAGUUUUGAUAAAGCAAUCAGAGCAAGCUCGUAUUGAUUAUCGUAUUUGCUUGACAGUUUCUCUUGAUUAUGUGAGAUUUUUAUUGAGACAAGGUCUUCCUUUUCGUGGGCAUGAUGAGAGUGACACUUCAAGCAACAAGGGGAAUUAUUUAGAGCUCUUACAGUUUCUUGCUGAUCAUGAUGAGAAAGUGAAGGCCGUUGUGUUAGAAAAUGCUCCCGGGAAUCUCAAGUUAAUAGCUCCAACAAUUCAAAAAGAUCUUGUGAAUGCUUGUGCCACUGAAACUAUUAAGAAAAUCAUCAAGGAUAUGGAUGGUGCAUUCUUCUCUUUAUUAGUUGAUGAAUCACGUGAUGUGUCAGUAAAAGAACAGAUGGCGGUGGUGUUUCGUUAUGUGGACAAAAGUGGGGAUGUAAUUGAGAGGUUUGUGGGCAUUCAACAUGUUAGCGAUACUACAUCAAACUCACUCAAGGAGGCUAUUGACACAUUGUUUGCAAGAGAGGAAUUGAGCAUUUCCAUGCUAAGAGGACAAGGAUAUGAUGGAGCUAGUAAUAUGAAGGGUGAGUUCAAUGGUCUUAAAACACAGAUUUUGAGAGAAAAUCCUUGUGCCUAUUAUAUUCAUUGUUUUGCAUAUCAACUUCAAUUAGCUCUUGUGGCCGUGGCAAAGGGAAAUGCUGAUAUUGCCACUUUCUUCACAUCUUGCAAUAGCUUGGUUAAUAUUGUUGAAGCAUCGUGCAAGCGUCGUGACAUUCUUAGAGAUCAACUACAAAAGGAUGUUACGGAAGCUCUAGAAAAAGAUACUUUUCCAACAAGGCGAGGCUUAAAUCAAGAAACUUGUCUCAAGCGUCCCGGUGAUACACGUUGGAACUCACAUUAUGGUACAUUACUUAGUAUCAUUUCCAUGUUUAAAUCUGUGGUGAAAGUUUUCAAAUUUAUUAUUGAGGAUGGCUCCACUGAUAAUCUAGGUGAAGUAAAUAGGUCAUUGAGAGAAAUACAAUCUUUUGAGUUUGUAUUUCACCUAUUUUUCAUGAGAUCUAUAUUGGGAGCCACAAAUGACUUGUCACAAGCAUUACAGAGGAAAGACCAAGAUAUUGAGAAUGCAAUGACUUUAGUCAAAGUUUGCAAGGACCAACUACAACACAUGAGAGAGAAUGCAUUUGAAGCCUUGCUUGAUCAAGUAUCUUCCUUUUGUGCCAAACAUGAUAUCUUGGUUCCAAACAUGGAUGAUGCAUAUGUAGCUCAAUGGAGAUCACAUCGGAGAGCUCCUAUAAUAACACACCUCCAUCAUUAUCGUGUGGACAUCUUUAUUCAAAUCAUUGAGUGGCAACUUGCGGAAUUAAAUCGUCGCUUUAGUGAGGUAAAUACUGAGUUACUUCUUUGUUUGACAUGUUUGAGUCCAGAUGAUUCAUUCAUAGCUUUUGACAAACAAAAGCUACUUCGUUUUGCUGAAUUUUAUCCUCAAGAUUUUAAAUUCCCGAGAUCUCUUGGCACUUGAAGAUCAACUUGAGAUUUAUAUUACUCAUAUGCGUACGAUGACUGAUUUUUCUCAAUUGAAAGGGAUUGAUAGCCUUGCAAGAAAAAUGGUGGAGAAAGGGUUGCAUAGAACAUAUAAUUAUGUUUAUUUGCUUCUCAGAUUAGCCUUAACUUUACCGGUUACAACUGCUUCUGUGGAGAGAGCAUUUUCUGCUAUGAAUAUUGUGAAAGGUCCACUUCGCAACCGAAUGGGAGAUCAAUGGUUGAGUGAUAGUUUACUUGUUUAUAUUGAGAAAGAUGUGUUUGCUUGUAUUGAUAAUGAAACUAUAAUGCUACGUUUUCAGAAUAUGAAAACUCGUCGUGGACAAUUGUAAUGUGGUUUUUUUCUAUGAAUUAUGAAUUCUAAUAUUAUCGUUUCAUUUUUAUGAGUAUAUUUUGUAUAAAUUUUUUUCACCUUUAGACAUUGACCCCUGGAAGGAAAUAUCCUGGAUCCACCACUGCUUGUAUUUGAAAACUCAUGUUUUGUAAAAGAAUCAUGAUUUUUUAGUAGAAUACCAAACAGCCCUUAAUUUAUUUUUAUUUUUUAAACUUGCCCUUUUUAAAAUAAUUUCCAUUUCUAUAUGAAUCUUUGUUUGGGUUCUUUUGUUUUGUGUUGCUUUUUUUUUUUUUUUCUUCAUGUUUGGGCUAUGUUGUGGUUUGGGUUUUUUAAAGUUGGGUAUGGGCUUGAUUAUAAAAGUUGGUGGCAUGAUUCAUCAUGGGUUUUUGAAACUCAAUAUAUGGCCCUUAGAUGAGGCUAUAUUUUUUAACCGUUGAAUCAUGCUAACCAAUUUGAUCCAACUGUUAAAAGAUAGGGCCUCACUUAAGGGCCAUAUAUAAGGCCCUAACUGUAGAAUUCUUGCACUCUUGUAAUUUAGUUUGGGUUAGGUUGGGCUUCUAUUGGUGGUAAUUUUGUAAUUUAUAGGUGUUUUGAAUGUUGUUUUGUGUUUGAAAAUAGGCUUUAGGUUUUUUAAUUGAAUUUCUAGAGGGUUGGGUUUUCUGCUAUUUUAAGCCCCAUUAUUGGGUCUUAAACUAAAGCUCCCAUAAAUCAAAGUAUAUCAUCUGUGUUGUAAAGAAUAAACAUGUGGAGCCCACAUUUAUGGGGCCCACAAAGAAAUUAAGCAAAGUUGUUUGGAGGCUUAUCACAUGCACACUCACAGGCAUCAUUUCCUCAGCCUAUAAAUAAGGCAUUAUUCUAGCCUUGCAUUUACAUACCACCAUCAGAGAAGGAAGAGAGAGAGCUCAAAGAGAAAGAAGAGAAGAAAGAAAGAGGGUGAGUGAGUGGAGAGAAAAGAGAGUAGAGAGAAAUUCUCCAAGAGAGAAAAUCAGUGAGCCACAUAUAUUGUAAACACUAAAGUUGUAGCUCUAUUAUUUUACAUAGUGCAAAAGUUACUGUUGCUGCUCUCCGAAGACGUAGGCAUAGCCGAACUUCGUUAAAUAUUAUAUCUCAUCUACUUUACUUUAUGGCACAUAUUCUAGUUAUUUUAUAACAAUAUGGCAUAACUUUUUGUUCUUCAAUACCUCAUUUUGAUUCUUGUAACCGUGCACCCUCUAGGGUCAAGGGUCUCACAUUGACCAGUGGUCUUAUCAGUCAACAUGAGAAUAAUUAAUGUGACUAUAAAAUACGUAUGAUGUUAAUUUAAUGUGAGUCUUCUUGAAAAAAGAGAGCUCCUAAUUAAUGCGAGUCCAUUACCAUAUUAGAGAAAAUUUGAAGUUGGUUAUUGCUUGGAAUGAAAACAUGAAAUUAUCUUUAUUUUGGAAAUUUUAAUGCUUGUGAUCACUGGUGGAUCCAAGAUUUUUUUAGGGGAGGGGCAAUAAUUAAAAGGCUAAAAAUAUGUGACGGAAAUCCAAGUGCGAGUCCAUGAACCCAUCUACAUUGAUCGAUAGGGAAGAGAGAAACUUUGAAUAAAUAAACGUGAAAUCUUCAUAAAACAAAAUUAAAUUAUAAAUUGAGAAACUAAGAAAGGACAGAUGCCAAAUAAGGGGAUUAAAGAUCAUGGAUGUAUGAAAUAGAGAUACACCUCCUUACUUAUGUGUAGGUCCGCCAGUGCUUGUGAUGUGAGGUUUGUUUACUUCAAAGGUAAUACUAAACAUAUAGACGCAUGCUAUGGUUGUGUAGAUCACAGAUAAGGGAGUGAGAGAGAAAUUUUGAGUUCCUUUUUAAAAAAAUAAAGAAUUUUGAGUUCCUUUUUUUUAAUAGGGUACCAAACAAGCCCUUAGAAUGCGGGAGAAAAAGUGAGUUUGUAAGGAGUUAAAAGUCUAACAUUAGAUUUUAGAUUACAUUAUAUUUAUAAAUUAAAUAUAAAAAAAAAAAACUAUUUGUUGUAAUUAGCGAUAUAAUUCUCUUAAAUACAGUAUAAAUGGAUAUAUUAGGUAAUGAGUAAUGGGAUUGGCUAUAAUAUGAGACAAAUAUUUAAGUGCAAUUGUUGAUGGAAAAAAAUUAAAAAUUUGCGUUCUACAACGCUUGCUAAGUUUCCUCUAACGAUAAUAUGACCAGCAGAAAAACAUCCUCUUAAUUAAAAUCGGGACACAAUUACGAAAACAUAAACAAAGCAAUCAACUUGUAGCUCAAGUAGUUAAAACACAUUUUAUGUGAAUAGUUCCCUUCGUUUGCCAUAACAUUCGUAUAGAAAGAAUAUAUGUGUAAACAAAUCAACAAACCUUUUAUUGAAUUAGCCAAGCAAGCUAGGGUCAAACUAGGAACUAGACCACUAGUAGACACAUUGAGGUGAGGACCGUGAGGUGAAGAUAAACUCGUCAAAUUUGAAACUCAACAACGACUUUAUUAUUAUGAAAUUAGGGUAUACAACUUAUCAAAGGUAUAAAACAUGCAGCCUGGGUUUACAUAACCGCCAGCAACAGCAAAGAGCUCAGGAUCAAGAUGAUGUGUUCCGAACUAUCCACUAAAUUCAAAUGGUUGAUCAAUCCAAUUUCUACACUAAAGAACCAGAACAAUAAAAAUGCAGUACAAAUUUGCUCUUCCCUUCUUAAACCCCUUUUCCUACGACACCGAAAAAUAAAGAAUUCCUUGUUUUCAGCAGACCACAACCUUGAUAUUGAGAACAAAAUGAUCUUCACCUGAGAUGGCGGGAUGCAAAAUAUACUCUGCCACCCCUUUCAGUAACAACUCAACUUUAUUGGUUCUAAGUUUCAUCGCCCUUUGCUUUGCCUCUGAGCAUGUCAGUGAAAUGUCCACGCAUGAUGCGCCUUAACCUAGUGUCUUCGACUGGUGGCAUUGGUGCAGCCUUCGGAGAUUCAACUGGCUCUGGUGGUAGCUCAACAUUUUCUUUCUUGCCCAGUAACCCACCUUCGCCAAAGAAACUAGUCACAGAUGAUGCAAGCCCAGCACCCAUCACCUUACUAAUAGUAUCAAAAGUUCCACCAGAUCUCUCCUUCAUUAUAAUUUCAAGGGCUUCCUUGUGUGCAGGAUCCAGCGCAUCAUAGUCUCUCAACAAGUUCUGUAUGGCAGGCAGGAGGAAAUCCCGUACACUAUUUGCUGAAACAUCUGUAUUAAUUAAACACAUUUGCCACUUGAUAUCAAUAACACAUUUAAAAACUUGAAAAAUAAAUCCAUGCAAAACUUUGCUGACAAUAUAACAUAAUUUUAGGUUAACAAAAGUCUGCACACAUAAUUCCAACUAGCUUAGAAUUCUGGGAAAGCUAAAGUUAGGAAAUCUGGCAAAGGUGGUAGUUGUCAGGGAACCAUCUGUUUUUACACAUGCUUUCUCCCCUACUUUUGGUUCCUUAUUAGUUCGUUAGAAAAUGUAAAACCAGCAAUAAAAUAAACACCAUAAAAUUCUGGUCUGUGAAACAGAAAAGGAAGUGAAAUAUACACCAACACAACAAAAAUAACAUUUUGGUCUGCCAAAAAAGAAGAAGAAGCAAACCUGUUGCAUCCAGAGCACGAAUUGCUUCACAAAAUGCAUUGGCUCUCUCACGACGGCGCAUCAAGUCACUUGCAGGCGGAGUGGCUGUAAGUUGAAAAAUCUUGGAUAAAAGAUGUAUAUAAUGUUAAAGAAGUGACAAUUAAAAAGUGGAUCCAGUAGAAAAUUGCACAAUGAUAUGUGCUAAUUAUAAUUCUUCAGUAAGUAUGUAAAGGAUAUAAUCUUUAAGUCUAUCCGUUGUAUGUGGUACAGCAACCACCAAUGCACGAACCACAGCAAUGGUAGCUUCAUGUGAUCCAUCUUCAAGAAACGCAUCCAUUUGAACACGUAUCUUAUCAACAAUCUGGGAGGUUUCAAUUGAAUCAGCCAGAUGAACGAAAACUGUUCCAUUAAGAUAGCUAAUUUGUUGAUUGCAGAAGGAAAAAGAUUUGUACCAUAUCAUUUUUAAAAUGUUGGGCCACAGCUCCAAAGGCAUCUAUGCUUGCAUACUUCACACUCAGGUUUUGGUCAGAGCCCAAAGUAACUAGGGCAGGCAAAAUAUGAGUAGAUGCAACUUUUGCAUCGAUAUAUGGAACCUAUUAAAUGGAUGCAGUCAAUUAAUUGUUGGUUUUAAAGUCAGACACAUGAAGAAAUGAGUACUCCAAGAGAAUGGCUAAACUUACAAUGACUUUCAACAGAUUGGCAGCAUUGAUCUUCAUAUCUAUAUUGGAGCUGACAACCAUUUCCCAUAGUAAGUUAAAUAUCAUACCAUGAUGAUCUUCAAAAGUGCUGCAUUAUGGAAAAAGGCCAAUCAGUAAGAAAUAACUUAUAAUUAAGAAAAAUUAGUUUUCAAAGGGUGUUUAUUACUUUACUAACCAAAGAAAGCGAACAGCAUCAACAAUCUCAGCAUUGCACUUUGUAGACUGAUUUGUCACACCUUCAACUAAUAGCUUUCUUAGGUACUCCACUAACUGCUCAUGCUUACUAGGGGCACCCAAAACUCCAGCUAAGAGAAGAGGUAAGACACACAUAGUAGCCAGUCUCUUAGCCACAGCCGUUCUUGGUCUCAAACCUGUUAUGUAAAUUAUAGCCACAAUUAAAGAUCGCACACUGGUGUGAAAAGGUUUUAAAACAUUUCCGUGCCAUUACCUUCGAUUCUGGAAUGGAUUGCAGAUGGGAAAAAUGUCAACUCAGCGUCAUCCCCAGUGGCUACCAGGAAUACAGGCAGCAUUAUGUGUGUCAAAUAAGAAUCCCCAUAGUGUUCUGAUACAGCCAACAGGAACUGCAUUACCAACAUCUAGGUCAGAAACGAUUCAUAGAAGCACUGUUAAUGAGGUAAUAUUAAAAUCCAUAAAAGAUAGAAUGAAGUUACCUUGGUGGUUCGGUUUCGCAAACUAUCUUCUUUUGGAGGUAACAAGCAGGCAAGCUGUAUCAAAGCAGGAAAACAGUCGACAUGCAGCCACUCAAAUGCAGGCAAUUGAGCAUGUCCCCUACCCAGAUAAUAAAAUUUAUUAUAAGCAGUUAUAGUAAACAAGUCUUUCCCAUUUAUCAAUAUCAUUAUCUCAAUACAAAAAGUCAAAAGGUUAUGCUCUGUCAGAAGAUAUAAGAGGAACUCAAAAGAAAUAUGAGAUAAUUAAAGUUGAAGAAGAAAAAUGGACCUUACCUUGCAUACAAUUCAAGGAAAGAUGUAGAAAAUAUUGUCCCAGUUGUUUCAGUAUCAGAAGCAAUUGGGCACAUCUCAAUUGCUUUCUGGUACACAAAAGGAAGCAUUUCCAUUAGCAUCCGUAGUAGAACAUCAACAUUCCAGCGUUCUCGUUCACCUAAAACACGAAGAUGUGACUCCACGGACCCUUCAACUCCCGAAAGGGGAGGACAACGCUGCAAUUUCACAAUGAUGUAAAUAAAAGAAACUAUUACAAACAAGGAAUAGAUUACCUCAAUCAUGAAUGAGAAAAUAUAGUUAAACAAAAACAUACCUGAGCAGAGCUUGAUAUGUGAGAGAGUAGAACUCUUAAAAUAUGGUCUAAUUUGUUUCCCCACUUGUUUACUGCAGGAACUAACUGCUUAAGUGUAGUUUCCACCACCACUCCAGAAGGAUCACAUACCAAUUGGAACAUCAAAUCCUCAACCUAUAAAUAAAUAAAAUACAGUAAAAUAAUGGAGAAAAGUAUCCUUAUCGACUUUAUACAUCUUUCUUGUCAUUUAUCAUGUCAUGAUAAGGAGAAAGUCUCCAUUCCCUAGACGAUGUUCCAUCAACCUAUUCUAGAGCUUACAUUGUAGCCAUUUCUGUCAAGUCAGAAUUCCUCUCCAUGAGAGCCUCUGAAGCAUAUUAGUGAGGCUGACCUUGAAAUAUUUGUCCAUGUUCGGAAAGAGUGGAAGCAGCAAUGCAAGAUUAUGUGCAGCAGCCUCCCGGACAACAGUUGCAGAAUCUUCUAUGAGUUGCUGAACAAUAGACAAAAUAAGAGAAUCACGAAUCUCAGGCCGGACAAAUUCUGCAAGCUGUCCACAUGAUUGAGCAACUAGCAGCCUGCGCUCCUCAUACAUAUGAUUUAUCUGCAACCCAUAAACCAGAGAAAUCCGUCAAAGCUUUCAAAAUGACAGAAUGGUUAAAGAUGACCACCCCUACAAGAUUUAGGCUCAAACUUACUUGUUCCCAACACUGGGGAAGCAAUUCUGUUUCUGUUCUCAUCUCUCCUACAUUCUUAGCAAGGGUAACACAUGCCUGAAAUCCAGUUAGAAGAUUCAGGAACAAGUCAAAAACAAAGCAGCUAUUUACAAAUAAAUGAAGUACUUCGACUAACAGCCUACAUCCAUUAUAAUUCUUCUUUGUUGCUCAUCUGGACGUUUGAUUAGAUUAAACAAUGUGUGGGUCAAGGAAUCUCGAGUGUUACUAUCUGGAUGGCGCUCAAUCACACACAUGAUCAGGGGAAGAAGCUCCUGUAAAUACAUAAUACCAAUAAGCUCUUUAAAGAUCCAUAUACAUACAUAUGAUACAUAUUUAUAGAAAUACAUACACAUACAUAUAAUAUAUGUGAGAUUCUCUCUGCACAAUGUCUGUUCUUUCUUAAAGGAUGAUCGCAUCUAGAAAAUCUCAUGUACUCUCAAGUUUUUCAACUUUAUUCCAUUAUAGUGACAGGGUUGAUUCUUUAGGAUAUAGAAUGACCCUUCAGAACCUAAAAUCUAAAUGACAAGAUAAUCCAUGACUAAAACCUAAACCUAAGCUCUAAAUAGUGAUUCUACAUCUAAAAGUAAUCGACCAUGUCAAUAAAUGGCUAACAAAGCUGAAGAAAAUUGAGCAGAAGUGAGGUUUUCUUAACCCGUCUGUUCUCUCUUAAAGAAUGAGCGUCUUGUCCAAUUAAGAACUCUAUAACAUAUAUAAAUAUACAUGUGUACAUAUACAUAUAUAUAUAUAUAUAUAUAUAUGUAUGCGCGCGUGUGUGUGUGUGUAUAUGCAUGUAUGUAUAUUAUGAAAAGAAAGGAAGAACCAAACCUCACGAUGGUUGAUCAAAACAUAAGGAACAAUCUUGGGCAAAGCAUCAGCAAGGAUCUGAAUGGUCUCUAGGCCCUGUCAAAGUACAAGCAUAACUUAAAAAGAAAAAAAAUAAGAAACAGAGGGGACGGGCAGGAUUCCAAAGCUUUUAAAAAUCAUUAUAUCUAAGAAGUUCUAUUAUUUAGAAUUUAGAUGGGCGUCCAUCCAAAACAAAAAACAAAAAACAAAAGGGAUGCCCCCAGCCAACCAUGGAAGAAGAAAAACAUUUCUGAUCCAGUCCAGCAGUAAAGGCUUUGAUGCCCUAAAAGAAAGGUACAAGGAACUUGCCCUUUUCUCGGAAACAAUUCCAGCACUAAGAUCCUCUGACGUUAGAUGUAGCCUUCCGCCGGAUGAUGGUUCAUCAUUUUGUUUGGAGACGCUUUCAUCAUUGACCAAGGUACUGCUAUCAUUCAAAGGAGCCACCGAAAACUCUUGUGGAAUUUCCUUAGGUGUAACUAUAUUGUCAUCAAAAGUUCGAGCAGGCAGAGAUUGAUCAUCUUCCUUUUCCACAACUCUUGAUACUACAUCAACUGGAUGCGGGAUUAGACUUUUAUCUUCAUCCAUGACAACGACUUUUUCUUCCAUUUGCGCAGACUCUUUCUCAGAAUUGGUGGAAUCUGAAAAAUCAGGAGCUUUUGCGUGUUUGGAUUUUAAACUUUCUAGUUCCAUCUGCAGUGAUUUGACUUCUUCCUUGUAUCUUUCCAAGGACAGGGAUUGGACAUGUUCAGCUUCAGCAGCUACCGUAUUCCGUCCAGAACGAUAUCCUUCAAUAUGCAUUUUCAAAGCAGUGAUUUCAGCUCUACAAUCAUUGAGCUCCUUCCUUUGGUGCUCCAGGGACUGCUUCAAAUUCUGUACCUGAAACAAAGGGUGUGUUAUUUUCUUACAUAUGAAUCUUCAUUGGAUAGAAGCUCAGAAUGCAGUGUAGUAAGGGGGCUUACAAGGUUCUCUUUAUCUUUAACGUCCUUCUGCAGACCUUCCAAUGAUUUGUUUAGUGUACUGAUUUGACCUUCAGCCAAAUCUUUGUUUUUAAGCAAGCACAGCUUUUCAUGAUACAAAGUCUCUUUUUCUUUCGAUAACGAAUCAUUUUCUCGUAGCAUGGUAAUUUUCUCCUAAACAUAGAAAAUUAUUAUUUAUGUUGAAUUUAGGAAAAGCAAAAAGUAGAAUUCACAAGUAUCAAUAAUGUAACUAAGUAACUUUUUAAGACUCAAGAAGCAUCAAGGCAAUCUAGGUAUUCAAAUCUACACUGUAAGUAUCCAUAACAAGAAUUGUUGCAAUCAGAAGCAAACACUAAGGAAAAGCACUGUGCACAUUGAUAAAUUAUUUAUGAGCAAACAUAAGGGGAAAAAAUGUCAGCCCACAGAUCUACAAAUCAAUAUGCUCAUUGCCCAAGGUUUUAGAAAAAUAAUUUGCAUAAAAAAACUAAUCUGUUUAAGACAUCGCAAAGUAAAAGAGAUGGGUUUAGUUGUGCUAGUAAUCUCAGAUUUCCAAAGUGCUUAACCAGGAUUAUUUGAUAGAAUUAGCAACACUCAGCAUUUAAUGAUACAUUAAUUUAUGAUGCUGCAUGAUUAUAUUUUAAAGGAUAUGCAGAAACGUCUCUUAAUCAUUUUUAUUUUUCUAUAUAACAACCAAACAAUCAUAUGAAUUUAAUUACAAUUAACUAAGCCUAUUUGUCCUCCACCGAGUGAUAAGCAUACAACAAACAUGCCGCAGGCCACAGUUCAGGUGCAAGAAAGCAGAGGCAAGGUGAACAACAUUGAAUCCUUUCUCCAACAAGCUUGGUGAAGAGUGGUAGAAGGCAUUACGUUUACAGACUUAUUUAUGAAUAACUGCAUUCUAAAUAUUAAGCCUAUUUCUGCUCCCUGAGUGAUUAAAACAUACAGAAAACAUGCCACAGGCCAGGUGUAAGAAAGCAGAAGUUCUGCAAAACUUUGAAGCCCCUGUCUAACAAGCUAGGUGAAGCAUGGUAAAAGAUGUAAUUUUUAUAGAUUUCAGCACUUUCCAACAUCACAUGUUUCAAGAAAUACCUCAGCAGCCUCUGUAGUGGACGAAAGAUACUGAUAAUAAUAAUGGCGCAAAGCAUCUGGCACGCAUGCAGGUGAGUCCUGCCAAACAUCUAGAUUCUGGUCUGUGACCUGGGGAGAAUGUAUUGAUUGGUUAUCAAAACAUUUGAAGAUUAGUCAAACAGGGUAUGAUAACAUGUCAACAUAGCCACACACACAAAGUGACAAUCACACAACAUUCACCUGAUGCAAAGGUUUAGAAAUCUAAUGGGCCUCCAAAUAGGUCAACCUAGUGGCAUAAUUCCUAAAAAAUUUGUUCAAUGCCACUGCUUACUGCAAUAAACAGAUCAAAAUCAAAUCCUAUCUAGUAAAACGUUUUAAUUUUCUUUUUAUUAGAACUUGUUUUUCUAAAACCUAUUUGCUUUUUUUAUUGAUAAAAUAAAUUAAGCCUGCUGCUGUUACAAUGUUAGAAAGCUUCCAUUACUUAAAUAACAAGCAACUCAAUCCGUGAGCAGGAAGUUUUAAUCCAUGAGCGCUACGGGGUUCUUCACUCACGACAGUAAUUUUAAGCUUAACCAACAUAAUUUUUUUUUUAUAAAGUAUAACUAGUUAUUCAUCAUCGUUAAGUCAAAGAAAGAGAUAGAGAAGGUAUUACACCAAGUGAUAAUUAAACAUAUAACUAGUUUGUCAUCUUCAAUACUCUCAAGACACCUCCGCCAAAUCAGUUGUUGUCUUCCAAAAGGACUAAGGUGGAAAUCAUGUGCCUCACCAACAAGAUGGACCUCAAAACAAAACAAAUAUAUUUUAAAUCUCUACAAGGAAGUAUCAAUAACCCAAUAAACUUUAACACCAAACUCAACAACUAAAACCCCUAGGAAACAAAAUAUUUCUAACUAAUGUAGAAUUCUAAUUGCAAUAUGCUUCUAAUUUAGUUUGCACGUACAUAUAAAAUCCAGUACAAUUUGUUUAUAUGUGUUGUCCAGUUCCCCUAGCAAGACCACCUGUUUACAAUUCGGGGCCAAUAAAAUACUAAUGGUAGUUGACUUCAAUAAGCGUGUGUGUCACAAAUAAGAAGUCAUCCCGUCUCCUAUAUAAAUACUGAGGAUAAAAAGGAUAGGAAGAAAACAAGACAUUAUAGGCAACGAGAGAAAAAGACAACUAAGCAUUUAUAGUGAUCCAUACCUCCUCAAAAAACGUCAUUGCAGUAAGCCGGUACCCUGCUAUAAGCAAAUAUUCUUUUACAGCACAGUUAAGAUCUCUGCGUUCAUUAUCUUUCAAUGGACCCAAAUGAGAGAAGGAAACAUCUCUCUUUUGCCGCUGAAAUUGUGGUCCAUUAUUUACAGAAACACUGGAAUUUGAACCUGAAUCCAAACCUGAGGAGAAAGUCAUGGAACAAAAUCUUUUGUGCUUUACUAGUAAAGAAACUAUUGUAUAUACAGUGUAUCUCUGGUUUUCCACUGUUUAUAGAUCUAAUGUUGAUUCUCAAAAAUACAACUUCAAUGAAUCAGCAAGAGGCAAAAAAACAAAGGGGUAAGUCUCCAGCAUUGACAUGCAUUUUUAGCAUGGUUUUCUAGAAAACUGAAAUCCAGUACAACUAAGAACAGGCAAGGAUGUCCGUGUUCAGGAUAUGGCUUUAUGGUCGGUCUUCAUGACAAGAUAUGUUCAAUGAUUUAAUAACCAUAAGGCAUCGAUUCUUUAUAAAUGCUGGUUACUAAGUAGAAAUUAUUGAGCUAACAAAUCAUAGUGGAUACAGAAAGAUGUAUCAUAUUAGAAGCAGAAACAAACAUAAGAAUACAAUUUGAGAUUCUGCACAGAUGGAAAAAUUACCUCUUGAUUCAUUUACAGGUGAUUCAGCUUUCUUCUGCAAUUCAGUCUUCAGUUUCAAAAUGUCCUCUUGGGCUAAACGAAGCUCAUAUUCACUAAUUGCUAAUUUUUCUUCUACUGCUUCUUUCUCUUCUAGCAAACUUUGAGGAUCUGCAACUGCAUUAAGAAAUGAAUGCAGUAGAAAGCUAAAAAACAUUAGUAAUGUUCCAAAAGGGAAUAUUAAGUAUCGAGAUUUCUGGAGUGACUGACAAGCAUUAAAAAUGUUCAAAAAGUUUUCCUUAUCAAGUUCAAAUUAUCAGUUAAUCAAGCAGAGACAUGAAGACUAUGAUAAGUAAAAUCAUAUUACGAAAUUAUGAUAUCAUCAUCACUACAAUUAAGAUGUGAGAAAGAAAACUAGGAUAAAACAUUUGUAAAUGAGUUCUGCCAUGCUAUUGAGAAAGUUCAAUUUAGGCUUUUUUUCCCCUUAUAAUGCAGGAGCAAAGUUCAAAGUUUAGUAAAGGAGAGUCUUUCUCGUUUCCUACAUAAUAAAUGCAAUUUCUGCAGGCUUAUUGUCUUUGAGUCUCCCUAUGUCACAUGAUUAAUGUAUUAGGUGUAAUAAUUAUGUCCUUAGAAUUCCCAAGUGUAUUAAUGUGGACCUUUCCAGAUUCAUUUACCAAUUACCUUAUAAAAGGGGCUACUUUGUAUGCUUAAAAUCAGAGUUAGUGAAAGAUAAAAGUUCUUGAGAAUUCCUGCUUGUGUGUGGAACAAUUUGUCUUGGAGUGAUUCCAAGUCACCUUCGGUGUGAUGCCAGAAUUUUUCUAAUUUCUCAACUUGACACCUUUGGUGUGAUGCCAAAGGCCAGAGUGAGUCCGGAUCUCUUUAUUUUGUCCUCUCUGUUCAUGCUGUCCUACAUCAACUUAACUUUCUGUUAGUAGGCUUGUUGGUCUUGUUUGUGUGAUGUUUGCAGUUUAGGGCUUUUUUGUUUUCCUUGGCUGUUGAAAUUGUUGUCGUAGGCCGUAUUGGCUUUCUGUUCCACUGUUGUGCACUUUUCUAAACGAAGAUUUCCUUUUUCAUUUUUCACUAAAAAUAGUCUCUGAUGCUUUGGAAGCACAAAUCCAGAAUAUGGCACUAGCCCCACCCCUCCCCUCUUGAUGCCCUUUACCGUUUCACUUACAGGCUGCAUCAUGCACAAAAUUGAUGGGAUUCCUAUCUUGCAAACUUCUCUUUCUGUGUAAAAUUUGGCUUGGGGCUGGGGUGGUAAACUUGUUAAACAAAGAGUCCUUCAAUAUUCUUCUUUGAGUUUCUCUGACUGAGGAUAAACCUCAGCAACCAAAACUCAUUACACUAAUUCUAACAAAUCUUAUUUUUGUUGAAAUAUAAGGUUUCUUAUGAGUGAGAAUCCAAGUGGGCCAUCGAAAAGGGAACCAAGAAGCAAGCACAGUUCCUCUUGACAGAAAUGACAGAGAGAGAGAGAGAGAGAACUCUAUAUGACUCCAGAACAAAGAAACAGAUAUUCACACCUCAGCCCUUGCAGCUGAAAAGAGAGGGAAUACAAUUAUGCAUCCACAACAUACUCAUACUUUUGGUUGCAUUAUUGAAAUAUGUUAAGUCAUUUCUUUUCUGCAGAAAGUAAUAGUUCCACUAAAUUGAUAAGUUUCUGAACUAAAUGCUUUCUCAAUUCGCCAUACCAGCUCCUUUAUGAAGUGCUGCUAUCUGAUGGUUCAAGUAACCCAUUUGGAUACAUGACUGAAAGCAUUCCUAACACUUCUUCAGUUCAUUAACUAGUAACAAAAUCAAAUUCCAUUUUCGACAUAAAAUGCCAUCAACAAUAAGGUUUUGAAGCCAAAAAUUUCAUUGACCCCCAAACUCUAAAAGAGAUAGAAGGAUCCUUCAAAAGCAGAACAAAUCAAAGAUCACAAGCGCGCCAUUUUGAUGCCAUUGAAAAUUCCAAGAAAACAGAGCAGAAAACUAAAUUCCACUCUAAUGCUCCCCACAUUUUCUCAGCAACCAAACAGAACAAAGACAAUUUUCAAUUAACCAAUUCAAACAGAUUUAGAAGUGCGUGUAGGAGAGUGUAUCGUAAAAACCUCGAAUAGAGUUGAAGCGAGAGAUCUGAUCGGGUGGGAAUUGAGAAGAGUCAGCGAAGAAGUCCUUGAGUCGAAUGGCCUGGUUGUCUCUGCCAUCGUCGAGAAGCUCAUGGAGCAGCUCGAACGCCGUGAGCAAGUAGUUCUCCUCCAGCAGAAAAUUCACAACGCAAUUGCACAACGACGACCUCUCCACGUCCAUCGAAGCCUCACUGUCUCCACCGCCUUAACACAACGCCAUGGAAGAACCACUGAACCAAAGCAGAUCUCAGGGACUCACUCUCUCUGGUAUUACUUUAAUUUCUCAGGGGCUCCUCCUCCUCCUGAUCGAGUCGUUGAGUUGAGAGGAAGGAUCGAAGGAAGGUGGGAGAUCAGAUGCUACGCAUCAGUACUACGAUCCAUGCUUUCUCGCCAUUUCAACCGUGGAUCUUAUGCUAUUCAGCUAUUGGCUGUACAUCUAGUGAUUCACAUUUAUUCAGUUAGUUACGUUCAGCACGUGUGACUUUGCAUGGGAAAAUGGUGCACCGCUGUCAAAGGUCAACAGUUGACCUUCCAAUAAAACUAUCGUUGCUUCCGAAAGAGGAAAUAGUUAAAAAACAAAUUUUUUUUCUUUUAUAUAGGCUUAAUUACAUGCCUCCUAAAACUAUAAUUAAAUCUUACAUUGUUCUUUCAUACUUAAAAUGGUCUACUUACCUCCUUUAAUCAUAAUUUGAUGACCUACUUUACCCCAUAUCAUUAAUUAUAUCUAAAAUUCUGUCUAAAUAUGAUGACGUGACAGAAAUAUUUAAGUAAUUUUAUACACCUGGGCUAUUUUAUGCUUACAUGGACUUUACAAAAGCAAUAAAUUAAUCAAACUUUUUUUUAUUUUAAAACAACAAUAAAAAUUCAUAAAGCCAAAAGAAAAAAAUUUAAAAGUAAAAAAUUAAAUUCGCAGCCCCCGUCCUUUUCACCACAGCCCCUAUCUUCCCCAAUCUUUCCCACGCUGCCCAAGCCACCCUCAAGUUGAACUUCAUCCCCACCUGCAACUCGCCCAUGGUAGACCACACCCCAACACGCACCAAUCUGCUACAGUUCCCUCUACAAACCUGGUAACCGCCAUCCCCCACUAGAUCCAAUCAUUCACAACCCAUACACACAACCAAUUCGCCAUACAACAAAUAGAUCAAAACCCAUGAAUAUCGAGAAAACGAAAACAAAAAACCUCAUUUGUAUGCUAUAUUCUUUUACGAGAUUAGCAUGUCAAUUAAGGGAGAAGGGGGAGCGGAGCGGAAGAGGAGAGAAGGGGCAGCACCAUCCCUUCCUUCUUUUUCACAUCACAGGUGGCCCACCCCCACAACUCAACAACGUAGGCUCCCUCACCAUAGUCCAAAAGAGGAGAUUGAGAAGUUGUGAAGAAAGGUAAAAAAGAGAGAGAUUGAGGGGCUUGCAGAUCUGCAUUAUAUGCCCCUUGAUUCUUGCUUGUUCUUGUAGUUGGGUCUCGAUGGUGGAGAUUGGAUUGCGAUGGUGAUAGGUCUUGAAUUUGAGGUGGGUUAGUGCGGCUGGGUUUGCUGACGGGGGUGGUGGUGCGAUGUGGAGAAGAUGGUGGUGACACUGGCAAUGUGGAGAAGAUGGUGGUUGCUGCCUUUUAUUUUUUAUUUUAAUUUAGGCUCUUAUAAAAUUAUCUUUAAAUUAUUUUGAAAGGGCAUAUGGAUGAAAUUACCAAAAAGCUCAUACAACGUCAUCAGAUUUAACAGAAUUUUGGAUGGAGUUGACGGCAUGGGGUAAAGUGGGUCACUUUAAGUUUGAGAGGGCAAUGUGAGAUUUGACUGUAGUUUAAGGAGGCAUUGAUGUAAUUAAGCUUAUUAUAUAAUCAAGGAUAAACUGCUGAAGACCACAACAUGGGUUUAUAGGUUUAAUUUUUGUUUUCUUUAAAAACAACAUGGGUUACAAUUUUAAAAACUCUUCAAAAACCUUGUAGGUAGUUCCACCCCCUGUUGUUAGUCUUUAUACAAUAACUUGUCUAUAUUUAUUUGGUCAUUAAGUAAUAUUUAGUUUAACAUGAAAUUAGUUAUUAUGUGUAGUGUAUCCCUCAAAAUAUUUCUAAAUUUGAAAAUUUAAGAUACAUUUCAAUUCUAAUAUUAAAAAAUUCAGAAUUUUCAAAUUUCAGAACUUUUGAAUGUCUUAAUUGAUUUGUACUCACCAAAAUUGGAAGUUUGCGAAUUGAAAUAGAUCGGAAUUGAAAUUUCCAAUCCAACUUGCACCCCUAAUAUUCACAAUAGAGAAUACAAACACAGAUACUAUCUUACAGAUGGUAUAUAUCCCAAAUAGACCAUUAUCGUCCAAUCAAUUUCAGAGCCUCAAAGUAUAAAAUAAAAAUAAAAAUAAAAUUAUUCUCCAUAAUGUAAGAGGUUUAUCAUAAGGAUGUUUAGAGAUCCUUCAAGCUCUCUUUGCAAACGGGAAGACAUUGGGAGAUUUUGAAGACAUUCAUAAUUCUUCAUAUAUGAUUGUGAUGGCAAUGCCAAGUCUUCUACACCUUAUGUGUAUCUUGUGGUGGAUGAUCUCGCCAAGGCGGCCCAAUAAUCAUUGAUAAAUAUCGAAGUAAUUGUCAUGCAAUGACAGAUCCAAUCCGUCACAUUACCCUUCAAAAUAAUGUUAUUAAACACUUGUGGAGUGGAAUUCCGAUCUACCAAGGACAAAGCUAACUGAAAAACCCUAGUCACACUCUGGUCCCCUUUCUCUUUGCUGACAACCAACCACAAGGAAGCUAAGGGGAGGAGGUGGCCACUGCCCCUCCUCCCCUCCACCCAUCUUCCUCUUCCUCUCCUCAUCUCCCCUUCUUUUUCUCCCAUAUUUUUCCUUCCUCUUAUCCCCUCUUCUCCUCCCCUUCCCUUCCCCAAAUAGUCUAGAUCUGUUUGGAUCUAGGUUUGUUUGUUUUGUUUGGUUGUUUUUGCACUGUUUUAGGUGACUUGUGUUGUCUUUGUCUCUGCUGCGGCGACAGUAGUGACGUUGGAUUGUGUAUCUCCUUGGGAGAGUUGUGAUAAUUGGUGGCUGAUAUUUUGUCUCUGUUUUAACAGCAACGGCAACAUUGACGCUAGUAGUAGUUGUUGGGAUGUGGUGCUCUUCUUUACUCUGCGCCGACUGAAGAAUUAUGCUUAGUCAUAGGAGGUUUUCUUUGUCAAGUUCUAAGUGGAAGUGGAGUGCUUCUUAGAGGUCUUUUUACUGUUGUUUCUGUGUUCCUCCUUCGUGUUCUCUCCAGGUUUCUGCUAUGGUAUACCUUACAGUUUGUAUGGGUGUCAAAAGACUAUGAUUUUGCUAAUAGAAGGCUUCUUUUGACAAUUGGAAUAUUCUGCAGUCCUCUCAUGUGGGUUUACUAUUUGGAAUUUCUGCGAUCCUCUCAUGUGGGUUUACUGUGUUAGUCUCUAGUUGCGGUUCUCAUCGGAGUUCUUUGUGUUAGUUUUUGUUUUUGACUUGUUCUUUUAUUGUAAUGGUUCAAAGUGACCAGAAUUGGACUCUCUUGUUAGUCCAUGACAUGUAUGGUACUCUUUUCUUUCAUGGGGUUUGUCCCAUGAAAUUGUCCUAGGAAAGUUUUAACGAGGUCACUGUAUCAUGUUGCUCUUUAUACGUCUCUAAUUUUAAGAAUGAACUCUCAUUCUCAACCAAAAAAAAAAGAAAACACUUGUGGAGUGGAGGCAAUAUGGAGGUGAGAAUUAAGUGAAUUGUUUUAUGCUUUCAAUACCUAACUAGCAAAAUGUCCUUGCACAUGAAGGAAAUAUGAAAUAAAAUAAGUUGAUAUAAUCACUACGAAAACAAUUCAUUUAUGACGCGAAAUAACAACACUUUAUUUCUUAAACUUCCAACAUGCUCCGUGAACGAACUAUAAUAACAUACAACAAAACAAAUACAUGAUAAUCAUUCCUUUCUAGGAGUCAUCCGAUGGCGGUUUGGGAUGAUAGACGUCAUCGUCAAAGUUCAGACAACGGGAGGCUUGUUUCGCCGUAAUCUCCUUUUGUUUCUCUUUAACUUUGGCUCUUCUAGCCGGAGUUUCAAUUGUAGAAGUUUCCAUCAUCAUAACCUUAAACUCUUUGUUCUUGUCAUAACUUUCCUUGUAAGACUUCAUGACUUUAGCCAUAGCAUUACCUUGAUCCAUGAGAUCAUGCAUAAUAUCCUUUCUUUUUUGUUCUUGAGCCUUUUUGUUUCGAAUAGGUCUUGACGAAGGUUUGCUGUUUCUGGGACAUUUUGGGUUACCAAAACAGACUCCAUCGAUUCAUUAUCGUUGACAGAAUAGGACGUAGGUAUUGGAGACGUCGUUGAGGCUCUGCAUAGAGCUACAUCUUUGUGGAUGGAGCAAUUUGCACCAUUUUUAUUGGAACCUUCUUCUUCAUCUCCAAUUGGUGCAAGUAAAAUGAGAGUAAAGGGACAAGAAAAAGAAACUUUGUGAAUGAGCAAGGUAAAAUAAACAUAGGUGUGAAAAUUGUAUGUUGUGAAAUUUGUGCGAAAUGAGUUUGAUAUAUUUAUAGGAAAAGUUGUUGAAAUAGCCGUUAAAAAGAAGGGAAAAAAUUGCAGAAAUUCUGACUGCUAGCCGUUGCUGCCCUUCAAAUUUCAGCUCUUAGAUUGCAUUCAACUUCAAAUCUGGGCGGUCCAAAUUAAUAGCCAUUAGAUUAAAUAUAUGUUUUGUUUAGUUACCGUUGGUUGCUUUGAAUGGCAGCCUUUAGAUUUCCGAUGGAAUCAAAUCUCAGCCACAAAUUAGGUGACCCUUGAGCUGACCAAUUCCCCAGUUUUUUGUUUGGCUGAAGCGAGGAUGGCCUAAACUCUUUGAAUUGUUUUAAAGACGGGCUGGGCAAGAAUUUAUAGAGAUCAUACUUCCGACUGCGAGACAAAAAACAAAAGAAAGGAUAGAGACUUAACAUACCAUUCUUUUGGUUGCAUCAAAGAACAGUUGAAAAUUUGAUCCUACGUACUGCCAUUCAAAAAAUCUCAUUCAUUUAGAAAUAUAAAAGUAGAAUAACAGAGAGAGAGAUUUGUUAAAUGUCCAACAAUUGAUUUCCCAAUAGAAGUAAUUAAAUCAAGCUGUUCUUAGGGGAGGUGAAACAAGGAUGACCCCGUCUCCUCUGACAAAGAGAAAGGGAACAGUCCGUUUUUUCGUCUGCAAUGGAAGAAGAGGAAAAAAAAGGUCAUCGUCUAAAACAGGACCAAGCGAGUAACAACCGCCGAAACAUACCAGACCAAACAAGUAAGGAUCUAUGUCAAAACCAAACGCAAUACAAUAAAGUUGAUGAAAAACCAAACAAAUAUUUAUCAUCAUUUUGUACCUUUUCUUCGUUAAUUACGUUUUAGGGUUUUGAUUGUCUAUAUCAAUGUUAAUAUUUCAAUACACAACCAUGUAUUUCAUGAAUCAGCUCUAACCCAUUCUCAAUGGUAAUGCCUCGAGCUAAAAGCAAUUUAUUUGAUACGUUGUUUGGCUAUGAAUUGUAAAGACAAAAUAAGAUGUUAACUUAUAUUAGUUUCACUGCAGUCAUCUUUUGAUGAUAAGAUAAAUGAAUGGCAACUUAAACUCACUCAGGAGCAGAUGUGACCUAUCAAGGGUUCAAUAGACAGAAUCCACACAAUUUUUUUUUCAUAUCUGGCUGAAAAUAAAUUUCCAUUGGCAGAAGUUUUCCAAAAUUUAGCAAAGUCCACAGUGGCAAUGCAGAAACAUUCAGAUCUAGGUAAGCACUCCCAUAGGUAAUAAAGAGUAUUGCCUCUGGAACAACUUGAGGGUACCGUCACUACAGCAAUUCUAUCCCAUGGUUUAAAGUUACAAUUUUUUUUUUUUUUGGUUAUUCAUGCAAUUUACUCCACCAGGAAAACAAUAUUACAAAUUCAAAUUUAUUGGAAAAUAAAUUAACUAAAUUUAAAAAUAAAAUUAAAAAAUGUGAUGAAGACAACAGAAUGUGAGUCACAUACCCGGACAAUCUCUUCAUAAGUUUCAUCAUCAAUUUCUACAGAAGUAACAAUUUCUUCAACAUCACCAAGAAUCAUAUUCAAGUGUUGAUCAUAAGCCUGCAAAGCAAGAUUUGAAACAACAAAAUAAGAAUCAGACACUAAGCUUUAUAACCACAAUUAUUAUUGUCAUAAGUAACAAUUAACAGAACCACCUGACAUAAUUGUAAACAUACAAGAAACUUUCUCCUUCACCCUCCCACCUCUCCUAAUCCCUAAUGUCAUUGCAUCAAGUUCAACAAUUGGUCCUCACAUAACAACCUUCUGAACCAACAACUUGUAAUUUUUCUUUUCUGUCCUUUAGGACAUAUUAUUCAUUGUUUGAUUAGAAGUACUUUUGAGGAACAUGGAAACAAAGGUGAAGGGGAAGAGAAAGAUGAUUUGGAAAGCAUCACUGGUUGGCUUAGCAUAACUCUUAUGACAAUAGCAAUGUUGGCUAAGAAGUAUUGCUUACUCAAAAAGUCAACAGAAUCACCCAAGAUCAUCCACUUACAUAAUUUAAAAUUUGAAUUCAAGAAUAAGAAAAAAGAGGAUUUACCUCUGAAAAAAUAAUAAAGAUGGCUACAGAUUUCUUAUACAGCCACACAUUUUGCCUCGAUCAGUUAAUGGGAGAAUAUAGUAGGGUAUAAUUUCAUGAUAAGAUGAGGCGAAGAGCAAACUAAAUCAUCACUCUAGAACUGAUAAACUAUAUUAACCACCAAUAGACCACCAUCAUCAGUUCAAUAAUCAUAGUGGUCAAAGUAACCACUGUAAGUAUCUUUCCAUACUCAACAAGCUCCAACAUUUGAAAGAAAAUUUGAAACUUACAAAAUACAAGAAGCAAAAAUACUUAGAAUUGCAAUAAAACGAAAAGACUCGAGUUCAUUCAUUCAUAUCACUUUUCUCAAUCAACCCAAAAGCAAAAACAGACAAUUAUAGAAAAUGCAUUUAAAAAAAAAGGUUACGGCUUUUCCUUGGAAAAUAAUAAAAGAAAACAGAUAUUGUAUACUUUACGCAUAUCAUAAGAAAGAACCCUAAUUUCCAUUCACCACUUAACACUAAAGCAGCAUACUUUAAACCCUAAACUUUCUUUUCUCUUCAUUUUUAGUUUUUGCCAAAUCUAGAACCCUAAUUAGAACAACUCAGAAAGUAGACAAAACCUAAUUUAGAGCAGAGUAAGAGGCAUGGUGGGGGUGUGGAGACGUACAUGGAGUUUACCGCGGAGCUCACGGUCGGAGCGGAGCUUGACGUAGAUGCGCUCGUCGAGGCUGAGCCGUAUCAGAUCCAACGGCUCCUUCACGGCACUCUCUUCCUCACUUGCCAUCUCUUAGUUUGCUCAGAAAGCAAUUCAAUAUCUCCAAUGGGUACCUGUUUGCCGCGCUCACAGGUUAAUCAACAACCCACAAACCAAAAUCAAAAUCGAAAACCCCAAACACCCAAAAUAAUAUUACAAUUAAUUAGCCCUUCCAGCCUAAAUAAAAAACCCCAGAAACCAAAACCAACACUGUAAUUAAUUAGCCCUAUUUAGAAAAUCUGAAAAUCCAAAUCAUUGCAUAACACUAACUUUGAGCUUGUAAGAAUCACGAACUAUACGAAGAGAGAGAAACGUGGUUGCCUUGAACUCAAAAUAAAAUUGGAAAGCCCCAGCAGCUCCAGCUGACGUCGAAGAAAUAUCUUAAAGCGGAUGUCGUCGCUGGAUCGGAGCUGUUGAGCGUCGCAAUGGUGUAGAGGGAACUGAGGAUUGGGGCUGUUCUCUCAGCAAGGAAUAGUAAAGGCAGUGUGUACGGGGUUGCUCUAUCUCUAUGACAAAAAAAAAGUUGAGGAAAAAUGGAGUCAAAUAACACAUUAGGGAUAUUUUCAGUUAAACCCCCUGAGGUUUGGCAUAAUUACAACCGUACCUCAAAGGUUUCAUUUAUUCCAUUUAUACCCCUCAUUUCUAACAUCUGGGUUCCUCCCUUCAUGUUUCUGUAAGUCCACGUCCAAGGAGCUAUCAAUCUAUCUUUAUAUUAUGCUCAUGCUUUGUUGCUGGAAAUAAUGCAUCGUAUAAAGAAAUGAAGGAAACAAAAAUUUGAAAGCCAUGAAUGAAAAUAAAAUCCAAACAUUUAUUCCUUUAUUUGAUCGUCUGCAUUACAAAUUCUUGACAUCAACAAUGUGUCAAGAUCCAGGAAACUUAUUUAUUCCUCUCUAUUAUUGGGAACUAUAUGUAUAAUAUCAUAACAUAUAAGAUCCCAUUAUAUAUAUAUAUAUAUGUGCUUAUGGGCAGAACGUGAUGAGGUAGUCAGGUCUAGCACUGCAUGUAAAGGUGCUGCUCUUGUCAUCAUAAGCAUAGCUAUAAGCUUGAGGGCACUGGUCCUUGAAGAUCUUAGAGUACUCAGUGGGAGGGCAUGUCUCCGGCUUGUCGUUAGGGGGAGUGCAACAGUAUUGUGGCUGGUUGAGUGCUAAGCAAGCGCUCUUGCAUGCAAUUACGCUUCCAUCAGAUCCCUUCACUUGUAACUCGGCCGGGCACACCGCGUUAACAUCGGCAGGGCAAGUUGAGGCCUUACACUCGCCGGUGCCGCCUUGUGGAGCCACGGCCAUAGGCAAGUUGAAGCCGUCAACAAGACUAACAUCGUAGAAAUCUUGACCCCCGUUCUCAGCAAUAGUGAUUUCUACUAAUGUAGCUGGCGGAACUGCGCCGUUACCGUUGCAUGAGACUUGGCCAGAGCCACAAUCUGCUGUGGCACAAGAGAACUUUCCUGACGCGUCCGUGGAGCACCUGGUUCGGCCAAAGAAGCGACCGGACCAUGGGGACGGAGCGUCCACAGAGUUGCUAAUUCCGGUUGCUAACUCGAACCCGGUUAGUGAUAAUUGAGGUUUUUGGUCACCGGUUAGGGUUCCUGGCCAGACAGUGUAGGAACAUUUGUUUGUGAAAGUGAUUUUAGCUGCAUGUGCACCUGCAUAUUCAAGAACGUACGUGAUCAUAAGAAUACAGAUUACAGAGACAAUUGUAAAAAUAAACUUUUGAUCGAUAUCUGAUCGACUAACAAAAAUUGUAAAAUAUUAUACCUGAGAAGAAGAGGAUGGCCAAGGUGGUGAGGCCGAGGAGAGCUGCUUGGCUCUUCAUCAUCAUCAUGGAAAUGUCUUAAUUGGCUAGCUGUUGCUGAUAAACUUAAUUAACUUGUAAUUUGGUGAGGAGGAGGAUGAUGAUAAACUUGGGUGCCAGGGGGUGCUUUAUAUAGGGCUUGUAGCGUGCCUAACUUUUGAUCUUUUCUUGCUAUUUUGAUUACGGGUCUAAGCUGCCAUGGUAACACGUAAACAGGACCCUAAGGAAACUAACAAAUUAAUCAUAAUAUUUGGUCCUAGAUAUCGUCAUUGACCGCGAUGUAGUCCCCUGUUUACAUUAUCCCAAAAAAUAUAUAUCACAGAAAAGUCAAAUUCAAUCUAGAAAAAUUAAAGUCAUCACAUGAGCCUGUAAUUAAGUGUAGAAAAAGUGAAAUGGAAAAAUAUAUAUUUACAAAGGUUAACUUAGUCACAGACUCACAUAUAAACUGAAAACAUGAUAAUUAUUAGAUGGUCUCUAGUCACGUGUUUACAUUAAUAAAAAAAUAACUAAAAGAUCUUUUAAAGGCGAAUAGAGUCUAGUCCAAUAGAAAAUGACAUUGACUUGCAGACGAGUGGUAUCACGUUCGGAUCCCAUGAAGAAAAGAACAAAAACUACUAGAGAGAUUUGGAUUAAACCCAAACAUUAGAUUAUAGGUCAUCAACACUAAACUAUUUUUAUUUAAUGAGUAUUUCAAACCUUUAAUUAAUGCUAACUUUUUUUUUUUUUUUAAUAGAGAUGGACUAAUUUAAAAAAAAUUAUACUAUUUAUAACUCCCUAAACUAGAGAGCAUGAUUGGAGUUUAAAUUUUAUAGAGAGCUCUUAAAAUAAUUUUGAUAUGUUUUUAGUUAAAAUUUAACUAAAAAAUAGAGAGCAUGAUUGUGGAUGCUUCUAGUCACAGACUCACAUGUAAACGGAAACGUGAUAAUUAUUAGAUGGUCUCUAAUUACAUGUAUACAUAUUAAUAAAGAAGUAACUAAAGGAUGUUUUAGAGGCCAGUAAAGUUUAAUCUAGUAGAAAAUGACAUUGACUUGCAUUCGAGUGGUGGUGUAACAUUAAAAUCCCCGUAGAAAGAAAAACAAAAACAAAAACUUCUAGAGAGAUUUGGUUUAAACCCGUACAUUUGAUGAUAGGUCAUCAACACUAGGGAACGGGUCAUAAACGCUUAGUCCCUGUUUACAUAUCAUAGGUUUAUUUGUAACAGCUGGUACUUUGAAUAUUGGCACUAGUACAUAUUACUUGCCAACAUAAAAUUUAAAUUUAAAAAAAAAAAAAAAAAAACAAGUACUAGGAUAUUAAUUUCGAUAAUGAAACCCAAGAAAUGUCAAAGUAGCAAGACUGGGAGAAUUGGAAGACUGCCAACCACAUCAAAUUAAAACGUCGAUUAAGAACAUUCGUGAUUUUGAGAAACAGUCGGUGCACAACUAGGCGCGCGCCACGUAACCAUUUUCAUAGCGUGAUUGAUGGGGCGGGCUACCGUGAAGGAGGAGAAGAUGCAUGGAAGCUGAGUACAAUUAAUGAGGGAGAAAAGUAAAACAAGGAAGGAAAACUAGUAUUUCCCUUCAAUUGUUUUUUUUUUUUUUUUUAAUGACAUCCCAAGUAACCUUUAUUGUCAGCUUCAAUUUACCUCGUCCCAUCCAUUCAUAGGAUUUUUUGUUUGUUUAUCUUUUAUUUCGAAUUGAUUAUGCUUACGUGAAAUUACUUCAAAGGAUAAGUACAAUGACAGUUUAAUACGUGUUUAGAAGUUUAUUAUUAUUUUUUUAUUUUAUGAAUUAUUUUGACACAUAUAUCAAACCGUAAUUUGCAAAUAUCUUUUUUCAGAAAAGAAGACCAUUUCCAAAACCAUUAUUUUUAUAUCUUUCUUCAAAAGACCAUUUCAAGAACUCACCAAUAUCGUAAAGUCAUUGAACCACUUGAUUAUUCUAGUGUUUUUUUGGCAUUACCAUUCUCUUGUAUUUAUUUCAUCAAAAUUAGAUGUCUUAAAAGCUUAUGACUAGUCUAAUUUUAUUUUUCCAAAGAUCUACCAAUAAGAUUCAAAAUAACCAUAUGCUGCCUACAAAAUAACAGAGUACGAUACAGAAAAUGUUCGGAAUGAUGUCGUAAAGACAAACAAUGUGCCUCCUUGCUGAUGUGAAAUCAGCUCAUCCGUCUGUUAAAUUUAUACUCUGAAUGAUUCAGGCCCCCUGAUAACUUUCAUAUAAGAAAAUAACCUCAAAUAACUCUUCAUGCAUUCACUUCGGGUCUAUCCUUCCUUUUUCCCCUACGUGGAUCAUUAGCAUCCUGUUGUUGCUGUUCAGCCUUCUUCUGAGCUCGGACCAUGGCUCGUCUUGUACGGGGUCGCAUUUCCCUAACUUGCCGAGAGGGCAUCAGAUACGGUUCAAGGGGCCGAUCACCAAAGGGGUGUUCACCACCAACAAAUAUCCUCAGCUUUCUAUCUCUAUCCUGCAUCCAAAUUAAAGGAAAGCUGUAAGAUAACUUACUAGACCAGCAAAUAAUUGUAUGCAUUUGCUAGGUCAGAGUUGGAAGGAUCCUGCAAGUGGAGUAACUGCAAUCUAGUAAGGUCCUCUCUAGCUUGGGCAACCUUAGAGUUGAUGCUACCAUAGUGUUAUAAACUAAAACAUAACAGACAAGAAAAGCUUCUAAUAUAAAACUCACGUCACGCAGUUUGUUCCUUGGGAGCAUGCGUAAUACAGCUUUGCGAAUGACUUCCGUAGGGUCCUUGGCCAUCUGAUCCUUUAAAGUCCUUUCCUUGAGGUGACCUAUAUACCUACAGGCCAUAUAUGAUUCAACAUCAAGACCAAAGACAAGGACGACUUUAUUUAGAGGGUAUUAGGAAACAUCAUGAAUCAAUUCUAUUCAUUUCCUUUGCUCAUUCAUAUAAUUAUUGACUAAACUUGAGGAUUCCCACAACUGAAUUAAAAGACUAAUUUUUCGAGUAAUUUGUUGUGGAGAUAAGUUUAGAACUAAAAUAUAGACAUAUAAUAUUAUAUUAAAGGACUAGUUUGCUGAUUUCAAUGAAUUUUAAGGGGACAGACCUUCUCAUUAAAACAAAAAGGUUCAAAGCUAAAAUGAAGACUAUGUUGCACUAUACUAAUCAUACAAGAAGAUUUGAAUGCUCUUAUUUUCACGAAGUUCCCCUUCGUUGUAGCACUGAAAACUUUUCACAAAAGUAAUUCUAAAACUAUUGCACUUACCCAGUAUGCCAAUGAUAAACCUUAUCGGUUAGUUUUCUCCCCGUGACACAAACAUCCUUUGCAUUAAGCACGAUGCACAUAUCACCAUCAUCUCGGUUUGGAGCAUAUGUUGGUUUAUCCUUCCCUUGAAUCACAGUUGAUAUUUGAGAUGCUAGUCUUCCAAGAACCUAAAAAGAAGGGUACAUAGCCAUUAUUUUUCUGCAAAGUUUGCUACUUCAAGUAAUUGAUAUGCUAACAACUGAACGAUGCAAUUCCACCAAGUUCAGAAUUCAUCAAAAACUGGAUCAAGAAGCCAUUUGCUUCUGCAUCCACCCUCUGCAAAUCUAAUUUCAUAAAAUUUCACUUAUUCAUCACAAUAUUUGUAGCCCCAAGAAGUAUUAGAAAAUAAAGCACAAGGACUUGUGCUCAAAAUUAGUUUUGAAAACAAAAAUGAAAAAGGAUCUCCUACCCCAACCCCUUCAAUGCUACCAUAAAUAGUAUAAAAACUAUAAACAACAACCUGGCCUUUCGCAUCGAAUACUUUCCACCGCAACCCAUCAAGAUCAAUACGCCUCAGGCCGGCCAGAGCUUUCUGUAUGAAUACCAAAGUAUAUAUUCUGUUACUGAUUGUGCACACUGAGUUAAAGAAAAAAAUUCUCAGUACAUUUCACAAACAUCAAAUAGGCUUUCGUUAAUAUACUAAUUUAGGGCUCGGUGAGGUUUGAAAACAAACAAUGGAUGAGUUCUAUAAGUAUCGAGACUGGAAUAGGCCGAGAAAUUAACCAUUAAAGAUCAUGAAAAUUCAACAGAUCAGUAGUAUAAGAAGAAAACACUACCUUCAAGUUGCCAUUAAAAGAGGUAGCUGCUUGGCUUGCCAUUUCUCUCCGUUUUCUCUGACUUCAACUUUCUCACACGCUGAUCAUUCACCUGCAAAACCCUAUCAUAGAUUGAGCCUACAAGCAUAAAGCUGAAGAAGAUUUAACAGGCCUAUUGGGCCAGGAAGUUGUUUCCUCUGACUUCAUAACAGGUUGGUUCCGUUGAUUAUGUCAGUUUCAUGACUUGGCCCAGGCAGUUGUUCGCAAAUAUCCACUUUGCCCCAAUCUUAAACAGGCCUAUUGGGCUUUUAAAAAAAACACAGUUCCUGCAAUCUUUACUCAUAAAUUUAAGCUAACAAAUUACAAAGUUUCAAACUAAUUUCAAAUCUAAUUUAAAUGUCUUAUAUAUCAGCCAUAUUAUUUUAUAAAUAAUUACUCAAAUUAAAGAGCUUAGAUUAUAUUUGAUAUAUACAGUUAAUUGACAUAAAGCUGACAAAAAAGAAAAAAAACAAUUCUACAAUCUCACGUGUUUGUCCAAUCUAUCAUCUUAAACUACAAGUCAUAAUGCUGCAAGGUCAAAUACAUGGCAAGUGGCAUGCUACAAAAUCAAUUUAAUAACACUAGCAUGUCUGAAGAAUAGAUCACAUGAAUUAAAGGGGUGCUGUUUUCAGCAAAGGAGGUGCUUUAAAAUGAGUAUAAAAAGGUUCUUUCAGUUCACAGUUACAAUAUUUUCCCAUGAUUUAAAAAUGCAAAAUUUUAGAAUUAGGGCUCGUUUGGGAAUGAUUAUGGAUAGGCCAAUAAUCACUUUAAGUGGUUUUAAGUGAUUUUAUGGAGAAGCACAUGGGAGGUGCUUCUCCCCAUAAUUGAUUUUGGCUUAUCUAGUAUCACCAAACGAUCCCUAAUGAUUUUAUUAUGGAGCAGAAGAAUUAAAUACUGAAACAACAAACAAGAAACUGCAUAAUAUACCAAGUUGUAUUUCAUCCAUGUAAAAUUUCAAUCAUGAAAUUACUAAUAUAUAACUCCAAAUUUUCAAGAAAAAAUGUUUCUUCCCUUCUUUCUUUCUUCUUUUUCCUCUUUUAAAGUUUCAACCAUAAGGUCUGAAACUGUAGACCAUCUAUGCCAACAACGCCUUACAACAUAAAUAAAUAAAUAAAAGAGGACAAGAGUUGAAUUUUGAAUAGCCUGGAAGUGAAUGCUUUAUUAGAUUUAAUCCCACAACUAAAAUGCAAUAGGAUAUAUUCUUUUACAAGUUAAUAUUAGAAAAUGUCAAGAAAAAGGAGACACGAGCCUCAAGUCACACAAUGCACACAUUUUAAAGAGUGAAAGCAAUAACAUAACUCUAGAAAAGCCAAAAUAUAGGCUGUAAAUCUUUGACUGGCAGAUCAAAUGGACCAAAAAAUUUCAGAUAAUACAUCUCUUGAUGACUCAUCAACUGAAUGCUAGUUAGAAAUAUUGUUGUAGCCAAAUUAAUAGUUUCUGGUUGUAAAUGUUAUAUCAGUUAGAGCGGUUUAGUAAGCCAGUUGAGGCUCUGUAUCUAUAUAAGGACAUGUGAAAAUGUAACUAAUCAAUUAAUCAGGAUAUCUAAUUUAUUAGCACCCACAGUCUCUCUAAUCAAUCUGUCAAAUUUUUGCUAUGACUAGAUCUCCUUGGACACAUACUAAUAACUAUCCAUGAUAAAAUGGUUCCAGAUAAAAGGGCAUCUGUUUGGGAAUGCAUGAAAGUCGUUUUUCUAUCAUAAAUCAGUCAUAUAAAAAUAAUAAUAAUAAUUUGACUUCAAAUUCAUAAUUAAGGUAUCCGAAAACAAAAUCGGCAAAGAGUCCAUUGCUCUGCCUUUGUAUGUGAGAAACAAAACCAGCACUUAUCAAAUGCCUAUUGCUCUACUAUUGUAUUCAAAGAGCCUACUACUCUUUAAAGACCCUACAAUGAUCCUUAAUCUUUGUAUAUCCAAAGAACAACUUCUCUGCUUUGUGCAUAAAGAGCCUACUGCUCUGCCUUUGUAUUUAUAUAGGCUAUUGCUCCACCAUUGAAGUCGGUUAUGCCACCUUUUUAGCACAACUCAUGUACUCAUCAACUUGACCGAACAAAAAAAUAUAGCCAAAGACAUCAUCAGAAGAACAAAGAAGCAUGAUCAGAUGAUGUCCCAUGAAUGAAAUAGCCACUAAUCAUAUUCAUCAACAUGAAACAAAUCCCUAAACCAUACGAGACCACCCAAAACAAAAUACCCAUCACCCGAUUGUUAGCUUAAAUCACAACUAGAGGAAAAAGAAAUAGAGUUAGAGCAAUCUAAUUUUGAGGACCAUGUGAUGCAAAUACGACGGCAAUGUAGUGUACUGCCCCCAAUCCCAACGUUUUCGAAAGCGGAAGAGAAAUGGGGCUGAAAGAAAGGUACCUGAGCUGAAGAACCAGAAACGCAGUGGCAGAUGGAGAGCUGGAGCUGCCGAUGAGGAAGAUGAGAACGAUGGCUGGGUUUUGGGUAUUUCUUAAAACCCUAAGCCCAAACUGAUGUUUUUUUUUUUCUUUUCCGGGUAAUUGCCUCAGCUAUAACGACACAGCAGCUGUCCCCUGCUUUGGUGUGACAAUAUCCGUUCAAAUUUUGUGUUCAAUUUAAUUAACGUACUACAAAUGUAGGCCUUUGGUCCAUUAUUAUCAAUAGGGAGUUUUCAUUUCGUCACUUGUCUUAGUGUCUGUUUGGCAUUACUUAUUUAAGGUGAUAAGUGAUUUUUAAAAAAUUUUGAGAAGUCCAGCUCGUUUUGUAAACUAUGAGAAAAUCACUUAUUGUUAAAAAUUACUGUGAGAGAAAUCUAUAAGAGAAAACAGCUAAUGAGGUGCUUUCAUUUUCUAAUUAUGUAGGAAUCAGUUUCGAAGAGGCAUUGGGUUUAAUGAUUAUGCGGCAAUCAUUUUCUGAUUAUACGGGAUUUAGUACCAACAACACUUUUAACAAAAAGUUUACCAAACGCCAAAUUGUUUUCUUUCACAGCUGAUCUCUCACAGCAAAUCUAACAACGAUUAUUUUCACAGCACAAAAAUGCCAAACUGGUUUUGUUUUGUUUUGUUUUUUUUCUUUAUUUUUUUGUGUCAAAGGUAGGACGGGGGAGAGGGAUUUACUCACUCACACUAGUGCCAAUGGCGGGUCUAUGUAUGGGCUAGAGUGGGCCCUAGCCCAGUGCUAAACUGAGGUUAAUUAAAAAUAGUCCACCCCUCUUUGUUGACAUUAGCCUAUCCCAAUCAUAAGAUUUCAUCUCUAGAGGCACCCACACACAUCAAACAUCAUGUUUUCUAUUACCCAUCCAUGUAAGCUAUGACUUUUUGAGAGCUUAGAAGUAGUAGGUCUCCUCCUCUUUAAAAUUGUAUUAACCUAUAUCCAAUGCGCUCUUUAGGGUUAAGGUUCCAAUUUCAAUUGUUAUUGUUAGCUUUUUAUGAUUAGGGUUUGGGUGUUAAAUUUUGGAUUUUAUUGAUGAUUCGUCCUUUUUCUGGUUUAAUCUAUUUACUUGAUCUCUGCUUUUUAUAUAGUCUAGUUGUCUCUUGGUUUUGUUGAAUGGUUGUAGCUUGUGAUUGUGCAAUUGUAGAUCUAUAUGAUUGCACUCCCUACUUCUAUUUGUACUCCCAUAAAAUUUAAAAAUUGUUAAUUGAAGAAUAGUUGCUACUACUCAUUUCCUUUGCAUAUAAAAAAAAUAAAAACAUAUAGCCUAUAGCCAAUUAACCAUGUAAACCCGUUUGUAAGAAGAAAAAAAAGAAGUAAUAUAAUGGAUUUCCCAUAAAAAAAAUAUUAGCCCACCCCUAUAAAAUUUCGGGAAUUUGCCCUUGACUGGUACCUAGGGAUUUCGAACUUGACACCACUCUUCUUAGACUAAACAUAUUCUUCCACUAUGGUAUGACACAUUACAUUCCAAAGAACCAAAAGAACUCACAAUACAUUCCAAAGUAACCAAAAGAACCAAAACAUCAUAUAUUUUAUAUAUGUACAAAAUUUAUAACUUUUUUUCCUUUGGUAAUCUACACAUAAAUUG
rnacentral:lncRNA from 1 species